UAAGGAAUAUUGGUCAAUGGACGAAAGUCUGAACCAGCCAUGCCGCGUGAAGGAUGAAGGUCCUCUGGAUUGUAAACUUCUUUUAUAUGGGACGAAAAAAGGUCAUUCUUGAUCACUUGACGGUACCAUUUGAAUAAGCACCGGCUAACUCCGUGCCAGCAGCCGCGGUAAUACGGAGGGUGCAAGCGUUAUCCGGAUUCACUGGGUUUAAAGGGUGCGUAGGCGGGUAGGUAAGUCAGUGGUGAAAUCUCAGAGCUUAACUCUGAAACUGCCAUUGAUACUAUCUAUCUUGAAUGUUCUGGAGGUGAGCGGAAUAUGUCAUGUAGCGGUGAAAUGCUUAGAUAUGACAUAGAACACCAAUUGCGUAGGCAGCUCACUACGGAAAUAUUGACGCUGAGGCACGAAAGCGUGAGGAUCAAACA
rnacentral:rRNA from 1 species